AAGAACCUCAAGGCACCUCCCCCAGAAAGCUGGAACACAGUGUCAGGGAAGAAGAUGAAAAAACCUUCCACUUCUGGACAAAAUUUCCAUUCUGAUGUGGAUUACAGAGGGCCAAAGAAUCCAAGCAAGCCAAUAAAAGCCCCAUCAGCACUACCUCCUCGACUGCAGCAUCCUUCAGGAGUAAGACAACAUGCGUUCUCUAGUCAUUCUUCAGGGUCACAGUCUCAGAAAUUCUCCAGUGAGCACAAAAAUCUUAGCCGGACACCUUCACAGAUCAUAAGAAAACCUGAUCGUGAAAGAGUUGAGGAUUUUGAUCACACAAGUCGAGAAUCUAACUAUUUCGGCCUUUCCCCAGAAGAGCGCAGAGAGAAGCAAGCUAUAGAAGAAUCCCGUUUACUCUAUGAGAUUCAGAACAGAGAUGAACAGGCUUUCCCAGCCCUUUCCGUAUGUAUGAAAAGACAGUUUAAAAGUCAUUAUACAGAAGUUUCUCUUAAUAUAGUUUUUAGAUUAAGCCAUAGUUCCCAAGGGUAAACUAAUAAUUUUUAAACUCUAAAUACUUUAAAGAUCACAUUUUUCACAUUUUUCCUAUUUUUCCUUUUCACAUAUUUAGUAAUAUC
rnacentral:sRNA from 1 species